rnacentral:rRNA from 1 species
UACAGAGUCCCAAGCGUUGUUCGGAUUCAUUGGCGUAAAGGGUGCGAUAGGCGGCGGCGGGAAGUCGGGUGUGAAAUACUCGGAGCCUUAACUCCGAACGUGCAUUCGAUACUGCCGUGCUUGAGGACUGGAGAGGAGACGUGGAAUUACGGUGUAAGCGGUGAAUGCGUAGAUAGUCACGGAGGAACAGCCGAGUGGCUGAAGGCCAGGUCUCUGGGACAUUAA